UUGCCAGACUUGUUACAAGGUUGUUUUAACAAGUCUGAUACAGUCAUGAUAUAACAAGAAUGUUACUAGGUUGACGAUACAAGGUUGCAACAUAUUGUUAUAUCAUGACUGUAUAGAACUUGUUGGAACAACCUUGCAACAAGUCUGAUGA
rnacentral:miRNA from 1 species